ensembl:misc_RNA Metazoa_SRP Metazoan signal recognition particle RNA
GCUGGGCAUGGUGGCACAUGCCUGUGAUCCCAGCUACUCAGGAGGCUGAGGCAGGAGGAUCACUUGAGCCCUGGAGGCUGAGGCUGCAGUAAGCUGUGUUCAUGCUACUGCACUUUAGCCUGGGCAACAGAGUGAAACCCUGUCUCAA